GAUGAACGCUGGCGGCGUGCCUAAUACAUGCAAGUCGAGCGAACAGAUGAGGAGCUUGCUCCUCUGACGUUAGCGGCGGACGGGUGAGUAACACGUGGAUAACCUACCUAUAAGACUGGGAUAACUUCGGGAAACCGGAGCUAAUACCGGAUAAUAUAUUGAACCGCAUGGUUCAAUAGUGAAAGACGGUUUUGCUGUCACUUAUAGAUGGAUCCGCGCCGCAUUAGCUAGUUGGUAAGGUAACGGCUUACCAAGGCAACGAUGCGUAGCCGACCUGAGAGGGUGAUCGGCCACACUGGAACUGAGACACGGUCCAGACUCCUACAGGAGGCAGCAGUAGGGAAUCUUCCGCAAUGGGCGAAAGCCUGACGGAGCAACGCCGCGUGAGUGAUGAAGGUCUUCGGAUCGUAAAACUCUGUUAUUAGGGAAGAACAAAUGUGUAAGUAACUAUGCACGUCUUGACGGUACCUAAUCAGAAAGCCACGGCUAACUACGUG
rnacentral:rRNA from 1 species